rnacentral:tRNA from 1 species
GAGGGUAUAGCUCAAAUGGUAUAGCACAUGCUUUGCAUGCAUCAGGUCCUGGGUUCAAUCCCCAGUACUUCCU